rnacentral:rRNA from 1 species
AAUGAACGCUAGCGGUAUGCCUAACACAUGCAAGUUGAACGCAUACUUUUACAGUAUAAGUAGCAGACGGGUGAGUAACGCGUGAGAAAUCUACCUUACAAUCUAGGAUAAAAUCCCGGAUUCUUUCUAAACUAGAUGUUCCGACAAAUAGUAUAGAAUAAAAGAUUAAAUGUCGUUGUAAGAUGUGCUCGCGUAGGAUUAGGUAGUUGGUGAGGUAAAAGCUACACCAAGCCGAAGAUCCUUAGCUGGUCUGAGAGGAUGAUCAGCCACACUGGGACUGAGACACGGCCAAGACGCUUUCGAGCGGCAGCAGUGAGGAAUUUUGGACAAUGGGCGAAAGCCUGAACCAGCAAUAUCGCAUGAGUGAAGAAGGCUGAAUUGGUUGUAAAGCUCUGAUUUGAUUGAAGAUUAUGACAUAAGAUAAAAGAAUAGUCCCGGCUAACUUCGUG